GAGGUACUCAAUGUUUCAGAGCUCAUUCUUUUUUGUAUAGACCACUCUUGAAUAUGUUGGAGUUGGGCCUUGUGGUAAGCUAACUCUUGUUCGCUUCAUCUUUGAUUUAGUCUAGCCUUGUAAUCGGUGGUUUCAUGUGUUGAAGUUUUAAUUUUCUAAUAUAAUUCCAGAUGACAGAAAAAAAAGAGAAAAAAACGUACGUAUAUAGCUGUCUUAUUUUUAUUUAUUUUU
rnacentral:sRNA from 1 species